AGUGAACGCUGGCGGUAGGCCUAACACAUGCAAGUCGAACGGCAGCACAGGAGAGCUUGCUCUCUGGGUGGCGAGUGGCGGACGGGUGAGGAAUACAUCGGAAUCUACUUUUUCGUGGGGGAUAACGUAGGGAAACUUACGCUAAUACCGCAUACGACCUACGGGUGAGAGCAGGGGACCUUCGGGCCUUGCGCGAUUGAAUGAGCCGAUGUCGGAUUAGCUAGUUGGCGGGGUAAAGGCCCACCAAGGCGACGAUCCGUAGCUGGUCUGAGAGGAUGAUCAGCCACACUGGAACUGAGACACGGUCCAGACUCCUACGGGAGGCAGCAGUGGGGAAGAGUGGACAAUGGGCGCAAGCCUGAUCCAGCCAUACCGCGUGGGUGAAGAAGGCCUUCGGGUUGUAAAGCCCUUUUGUUGGGAAAGAAAUCCAGCUGGCUAAUACCCGGUUGGGAUGACGGUACCCAAAGAAUAAGCACCAGCUAACUUCGUGCCAGCCGCCGCAGUAA
rnacentral:rRNA from 1 species